CGAAGUUUCGCUUCUUUCUCUCUUCGUGGAACAAAAAAAAGAAAAAAAAAAAAAGCUUCUUCUCACUUCAUCUCUUUGCUUACCCUUGGCUUUUUUAUCAAAGAUCAAAACUCCACCGAGAAGAAGAAAACCAAAACUCUAACUAUAAUUUUGUGUGACUCAACUACCCUUCAACUUCUAAAAGUCCCCUGUGACAAAAAAAAACUUAGACUGUGAGAGAUCAUUGUAGAUUGGAGACUACUUGGUUGAUCGAAACAUUCAAUCUGAGGAUCAAUUUGAGAAGAAAUCAGGGGAUGUUGAAGAUCAGGUCAAUAAAACCCUUAGACUCUGUUGAGCUCAACAGGUAGUCAAGGUUGUCCAUGUCCCCAUGUUGCUAUUGAAUCAUUGUUGUCUUUCUGAUAAGAUAGCAAACCCAUCGAUCAAUGGAGCAGAGGAUGAAAUCUUUCAAAUGUUUGAUAUGAAACUGUAAUGGAGUUCCGUUGCAAGUAUGAGCUCAAGAGUUUCUCCACCAUAACGGGUGUUUGGUUUCCACUGAUAAGCAAUUUGACUCGAACUCGCCAACCGGUCUUAUAAUACGGUUUGACGUCAUUUAGAAGAGACUUAUUUUUUUGCGCUCGCCAUGUUUUCUGUGAAUGGAGAAUGAAAUGUGGAUUGAGUAGUAGGUAAUUCUAGAUUCAGUAUAUAUAGAUCGGUGAAGAAUCUAUAUUAUUAAAAGAGAAGUACCCAUAUAAAUUACCCCUAAGUUUUCAAAGUUAUUUACACUACUAUGCCACUGAAAAUUAAAUAACUUACAUAUUUUAAAUGUUGUCUUUUCCAGUUGAGUUAGUGUGAUGUCCUAAUAUAAAUUAAAUUGCCUA